GGUCCAGUGUUGCUUAGCUAGCUAAAAUUUUACGAAUAUGAAAACAUCUAUCAUCGCAUUUCUUCUCCUGCAUACCAUUUUGCUCCAUCCUCUCAUUGUUGCUCGACAGUUAAUUGAAUUUGACGGAAAAAGUGGCGUCAGGCAUGAAAUUACUAACGUUGAGGGCAAUGAUGGGAGCAAUGGCAGGAUUUGGAUGGCUCCAAUGAGACGCUGCUUUGGCAGAAUCGGCCGUGGAUGCGUGCUGCCACCCCCAUCACCACUGACUAAUUGCGGAGCCAACCAGCGCUGCUACCCUCCACCAACAAAUGAUUAGCGCUGUAGUCUCGCAAUGAAAUUGUAAUCAGCUGCUGGUGGAAUUAAUUUUGAAGUUUAUCUAAAAAACUCAUUUAGUUUUUC